rnacentral:rRNA from 1 species
UACGGAGGUGGCAAGCGUUGUUCGGAUUUAUUGGGUGUAAAGGGCAGGUAGGUGUCCUAGUAAGUUCUGGUUGAAAUCCUUCAGCUCAACUGGAGAACGUGUCAGAAAACUGCUAGGAUUGAGUGCGGGAGAGGAGAAUGGAAUUCCCGGUGUAAGGGUGAAAUCUGUAGAGAUCGGGAAGAACACCAGUGGCGAAAGCGAUUCUCUGGACCGUUACUGACACUGAACUGCGAAAGCUAGGGGAG